rnacentral:rRNA from 1 species
UACGGGGGGGGGCAAGCGUUGUUCGGAAUUACUGGGCGUAAAGGGCUCGUAGGUGGCCAACUAAGUCAGACGUGAAAUCCCUCAGCUUAACUGGGGAACUGCGUCUGAUACUGGAUGGCUUGAGUUUGGGAGAGGGAUGCGGAAUUCCAGGUGUAGCGGUGAAAUGCGUAGAUAUCUGGAGGAACACCGGUGGCGAAGGCGGCAUCCUGGACCGGCAUUGACGCUGAGGCGCGAAAGCUAGGGGAGCAAACGGGG